rnacentral:rRNA from 1 species
UACGUAGGGGGCAAGCGUUGUCCGGAUUUAUUGGGCGUAAAGAGCGUGUAGGCGGCCAGGUAGGUCCGUUGUGAAAACUAGAGGCUCAACCUCUAGACGUCGAUGGAAACCAUCUGGCUAGAGUCCGGAAGAGGAGAGUGGAAUUCCUGGUGUAGCGGUGAAAUGCGCAGAUAUCAGGAAGAACACCCGUGGCGAAGGCGGCUCUCUGGGGACGGUACUGACGCUGAGACGCGAAAGCGUGGGGAGCGAACAGG